UACGAAGGGGGCUAGCGUUGCUCGGAAUUACUGGGCGUAAAGCGCACGUAGGCGGAUUGUUAAGUCGGGGGUGAAAUCCUGGAGCUCAACUCCAGAACUGCCUUCGAUACUGGCGAUCUCGAGUUCGGGAGAGGUGAGUGGAACUGCGAGUGUAGAGGUGAAAUUCGUAGAUAUUCGGAGGAACACCAGUGGCGAAGGCGGCUCACUGGCUCGAUACUGACGCUGAGGUGCGAAAGCGUGGGGAGCAAACAGG
rnacentral:rRNA from 1 species